AUUGAACGCUGGCGGCAGGCCUAACACAUGCAAGUCGAGCGGAUGAAGGGAGCUUGCUCCUGGAUUCAGCGGCGGACGGGUGAGUAAUGCCUAGGAAUCUGCCUGGUAGUGGGGGAUAACGUCCGGAAACGGGCGCUAAUACCGCAUACGUCCUGAGGGAGAAAGUGGGGGAUCUUCGGACCUCACGCUAUCAGAUGAGCCUAGGGCGGAUUAGCUAGUUGGUGGGGUAAAGGCCUACCAAGGCGACGAUCCGUAAAUGGUCUGGGAGGAGGAUCAGUCACACCGGGAGUUGAGCACGGUCCAGACUCCUGAGGGAAGGCGCCGGUGGGGAUAGUGGGCAAAGGGCGAAAGCCUGAUCCAGCCAUGCCGCGUGUGUGAAGAAGGUCUUCGGAUUGUAAAGCACUUUAAGUUGGGAGGAAGGGCAGUAAGUUAAUACCUUGCUGUUUUGACGUUACCAACAGAAUAAGCACCGGCUAACUUCGUG
rnacentral:rRNA from 1 species